GCCUCCUUAGCUCAGUGGCAGAGCACUAGGAUUAAAGGUAACUAGGGGUCAUGAGUUCAAUUCUCAAAGGAGGCA
rnacentral:tRNA from 1 species